GGGAUAUUGGACAAUGGGGGGAACCCUGAUCCAGCGACGCCGCGUGAGUGAAGAAGUAUUUCGGUAUGUAAAGCUCUGUCAGCAGGGAAGAAAGAAAUGACGGUACCUGACCAAGAAGCCCCGGCUAACUACGUGCCAACAGCCGCGGAAAUACGUAGGGGGCAAGCGUUAUCCGGAAUCACUGGGUGUAAAGGGAGCGUAGACGGCUGUGCAAGCCUGGAGUGAAAGGCGGGGGCCCAACCCCCGGACUGCUCUGGGAACUGCAAAGCUGGAGUGCAGGAGAGGUAAGUGGAAUUCCUGGUGUAGCGGUGAAAUGCGUAGAUAUCAGGAGGAACACCAGUGGCGAAGGCGGCUUACUGGACUGUAACUGACGUUGAGGCUCGAAAGCGUGGGGAGCAAAC
rnacentral:rRNA from 1 species